rnacentral:rRNA from 1 species
UACAGAGGGUGCGAGCGUUAAUCGGAAUUACUGGGCGUAAAGCGUGCGUAGACGGUUAUUUAAGUCGGGUGUGAAAGCCCCGGGCUCAACCUGGGAAUUGCAUUCGAGACUGAAUAGCUAGGGUACGGUAGAGGGAAGUGGAAUUUCCGGUGUAGCGGUGAAAUGCGCAGAUAUCAGGAGGAACACCAAUGGCGAAGGCAGCUCGCUGGGACGUGACUGACGCUGAGACGCGAAAGCGUGGGGAGCAAACAGG